rnacentral:siRNA from 1 species
GCAGUUAAGCGUGCUUGGGCG